AGGUGGCGACACCGCGCGGACCCGAAGCCGUUCUCAGUUCGGAUCGGAGUCUGCAACCCGACUCCGUGAAGCUGGAUUCGCUAGUAAUCGCGCAUCAGCCAUGGCGCGGUGAAUACGUUCCCGGGCCUUGUACACACCGCCCGUCAAGCCAUGGGAGCCGGGGGUGCUUGAAGUGCGUCGCCGCAAGGCGCGCCCUAGAGCAAAACCGGUGACUGGGGCUAAGUCGUAACAAGGUAUC
rnacentral:rRNA from 1 species